UUCGCGAGAGGCUUUGGCAUAGAUGCAGGGU
rnacentral:piRNA from 2 species